rnacentral:rRNA from 1 species
AGCAAAUAGAUACCCAGGUAGUCCUGGCCCUAAACGAUGAAUGCUUGGUGUGGCGGGUAUCGAUCCCUGCCGUGCCGAAAGCUAACGCAUUAAGCAUUCCGCCUGGGGAGUACGGUCGCAAGGACUGAAACUCAAAGGAAUUGACGGGGGCCCGCACAAGCGGUGGAGCAUGUGGUUCAAUUCGACGCAACGCGAAGAACCUUACCCAGGCUUGAACAGCGAGUGAUCACUCCCGAAAGGGAGCUUCCGCAAGGACACUCGUAGAGGUGCUGCAUGGCUGUCGUCAGCUCGUGUCGUGAGAUGUUGGGUUUAAGUCCCGCGACGAGCGCAACCCUUGUCUUCUGUUGCCAUCAGGUUAUGCUGGGCACUCUGAAGAGACUGCCGGUGAU